GCAGGGCGAGGUGGCACGUGCCUGUAAGUCCCAACUACUCUGGAGGCUGAGGCAGGGGGAUCACUUGAGUCCAGAAGUUCUGGGCUAUAGUGCAGUAUAGUGUCUGCACUAAGUUCGGCAUCAACAUUGUGACCUCCAGAGAGUGGGGGACCACGGUUGCCUAAGGAGUGGUGAACCGGCUCAGGCUGGAAAUGAAACAGGUCAAAACUCCCAUGCUGAUCUGUAGUGGAAUCAUGCCUGUGAAAAGUCACUGCACACCAGCCUGGGCAAUAUGGCGAGACCCUGUCUCUU
rfam:Gorilla gorilla gorilla genomic chromosome, chr11, whole genome shotgun sequence